rnacentral:rRNA from 1 species
AUUGAACGCUGGCGGCAGGCUUAACACAUGCAAGUCGAACGAGUGGCGGACGGGUGAGUAAUGUCUGGUAAACUGCCCGAUGGAGUGGGAUAACUACUGGAAACGGUAGCUAAUACCGCAUACCAUCGGAGGUGCCCAGAUGGGAUUAACUAGUAGGUGGGGUAACGGCUCACCGAGGCGACGAUCCCUAGCUGGUCUGCGAGGAUGACAAGCAGCACUGGAGAUGAGACAGGGUCCGGGUUCCUAGGGGGGGCAGCAGGGGAGAAUAUUGGACAGUGGGGGCAGGCCUGAUGCAGCCAUGCCGCAUGUAUGAAGAAGGCCUUGGGGGUGGGAGGUACUUUGGGCAAGGAGGCGUUACUCGCAGAAGAAGCACCGGCUAACUCCGUGCCAGCAGCCGCGGUAAUAC